ACGGGAAAUACUUCAUUGAGACUUCGGUGGAUUUGAUCUAUUUCUAGUGGCGGACGGGUGAGUAACGCGUGGGUAACCUGCCUUAUACAGGGGGAUAACAGUCAGAAAUGACUGCUAAUACCGCAUAAGCGCACAGGGCCGCAUGGCCCGGUGUGAAAAACUCCGGUGGUAUAAGAUGGACCCGCGUUGGAUUAGCUGGUUGGUGGGGUAACGGCCCACCAAGGCGGCGAUCCAUAGCCGGCCUGAGAGGGUGAACGGCCACAUUGGGACUGAGACACGGCCCAGACUCCUACGGGAGGCAGCAGUGGGGAACAUUGCACAAUGGGGGAAACCCUGAUGCAGCGACGCCGCGUGAAGGAAGAAGUAUCUCGGUAUGUAAACUUCUAUCAGCAGGGAAGAUAGUGACGGUACCUGACUAAGAAGCCCCGGCUAACUACGUGCCAGCAGCCGCGGUAAUACGUAGGGGGCAAGCGUUAUCCGGAUUUACUGGGUGUAAAGGGAGCGUAGACGGUGUGGCAAGUCUGAUGUGAAAGGCAUGGGCUCAACCUGUGGACUGCAUUGGAAACUGUCAUACUUGAGUGCCGGAGGGGUAAGCGGAAUUCCUAGUGUAGCGGUGAAAUGCGUAGAUAUUAGGAGGAACACCAGUGGCGAAGGCGGCUUACUGGACGGUAACUGACGUUGAGGCUCGAAAGCGUGGGGAGCAAAC
rnacentral:rRNA from 1 species